rnacentral:misc_RNA from 1 species
CCGAGUUAGGGUCUCACCGGCCCGAUCUCCCAACCCUUUGUCUACUUGACCAUCGUUGCUUCGGCGAGCCCGUCCUCACGGACCGCCGGGGGGUCUCCGUACCCCUUGGCCCGCUGCUCGUCGAUAGCCCCCCAAUUUAAAAAAUCUUAACUAAACGUGUCUUGAAUCUAAGUAUUAUUGUUAAAUAAAAACA